rnacentral:misc_RNA from 1 species
CCGAACCGUCGACACGAGUUGUUGCUGGCCCCUCUGACGGGGGGCAUGUGCACGCUCUGUUUACACAUCCACUCACACCUGUGCACCCUCUGUGGUUCUAUGGCUCGAGGGGCCUUGUCCCUUAGCCGUGGUUCUACGUUUUUAUAUGCACCCUGUAGUAAAGUCUUAUGGAAUGUGUGCCGCGUUUAACGCAAUGAAAUA